GGGGUAUUAGCUCAGCUGGGAGAGCGCCACACUGGCAGUGUGGAGGUCAGCGGUUCGAUCCCGCUAUGCUCCACCA
rnacentral:tRNA from 2 species